rnacentral:rRNA from 1 species
UAAUACGGAGGGUGCAAGCGUUAAUCGGAAUUACUGGGCGUAAAGAGUGCGUAGGCGGUUUGAUAAGCGGAGUGUGAAAUCCCCGGGCUUAACCUGGGAACUGCAUUCCGAACUGUCAAGCUAGAGUAUGAUAGAGGGUGGUGGAAUUCCGAGUGUAGCGGUGAAAUGCGUAGAUAUUCGGAGGAACACCAGUGGCGAAGGCGACCACCUGGAUCAAUACUGACGCUGAGGUACGAAAGCGUGGGGAGCAAACAGGAUUAGAUACCCUGGUAGUCCACGCCGUAAACGAUGUCAACUAGCCGUUGGACUCUUUAAGGGUUUAGUGGUGCAGCUAACGCGAUAAGUUGACCGCCUGGGGAGUACGGUCGCAAGAUUA